AAUUUUGUAACAUUAUCCUUCAUCUAAAAAAAUGAAUAUCAAACUUACGAUGUUUUAAAUAACACGCAAUAUAACUCUUAUAAGUAUCUACUAAAUGUUUUCAAGGUCAUAUACAUUAGAUUUUUUAAAUUCUAAAGGUUUCUAGACUUGCGGCAUGGAAAUGGGUUUUUAGAGGAAGAAAUUGAUUAAAAUGCGUAAAGAGAAGAGAUGAUCCAAUAAGGUGGACCUAGGUUUGUGUCCCAAAGCUUAUAUAUUCUAAAACUUUCUGUACCUACAGAGCAUACUUUUUUGUGCGAUUUUUGUAGUUUUAAAGUGUUCAUCUUUUCUUCUUCUUCAAUGUUAUUUAAUUUUUUUAA